UUUAGUUUGGGGGGAACUAAAGGAAGCUGCAAGCCUCACCAUUUGAGUCUCGUGACCUGUGCCACCUGGCAUGGCUGUGGCAAGUCAGCCCUCUGCCAUGCAGGGACAGGAGGUGGCAUGCGAGACGCAGACAGGGCUGCUGUGGCCUUGGAGAGCAGUUGCUACCAAAGUUGUGGCCUAGAGGAGGAGGGUGGACAUCCUGACUAUGGUCGGCACUCUAAAAGCAAGGCCCAACUCACCCAAGCAACACAGCUGGCCCCCAGCAGACACUGGGAGCCCUGCUCACCCAGCAAGGGGCCCCCUGGGGGGUUGGGCCACGAGUGCAGGUCAGAGCUGGGCUCACCCUGGCCAUCUAGCCUGGGACACAGCUUUGGUGGACAGUGAGCAUCAACAGUGCUACAAAGGCUGGCAGAGCUGACAGACCUGGUUGUCUUCCAGAGGCAGCCCAGCAGGAGAGGUGGAGCAAGGAGCUGGCAGCCUGGAGGGCUGUGGUCGGGGAGCAUGACCGGCUGAUGCGGGGCUGGAGAAAAGCUUGGGUAUGUACUUGGCCAUAGGAAGGAUCCUUCAGGGGCCCCCAUUCUGUCAAUGGGCCCUUCCUGCUGCCUCUCAGCAUGCAAAUGGCUCUGUUUUUUUGAAUACUGCAACCCUGGGGCAAUACUGGGUACUGUCACUGAGGCUGCAGGGGACCUACAGACCCUUAAGGUGACCAAGUCAGGCAGGAUCAGGGAGGCAGGCACAGUCCAGUGGCUGCCCAUGGACAUGUCAAAGCACUGCAGAGCUCUCUGAAGAGUGCAGGAGACCUACACAGGUUGAGCUGCCUCCUUGUGCUGGGUGUUUCUGGGGCGAGGUAUGCGCCACACCUAGUCUUGGCAGGGUCAGUCCCCAGAACCACAGCUGCAGCAACCAUGGGACAGUGGCAUCCCUGGCAAGACUCCCCCACAUAGGCAGGGGCUGUCUGGCCCUUGCUCCUAGUCACUGUGUUUUAUUAGCUGCCACCAGAAGGCAAAGCCAGAGGCUAUUGGAUGUGUUGCCACACAGGUCCCCACUAGCACAGGCCAAGGGUCUUGAAGGGUGUGGAUUAAACGGCUGCUGAAAGCUCCUGCAGUUGUUGCCAAUACAACUGAUGGCAUUUACAGCUGGUCCUUCAUACUGGAGGAGAGGCAGCGCCUCCUAGCCCUUGGGGACAUCUGGGUGAGCAGUCCAGGCUGCAGAGUGCCUGUUUGAAGAAGCAGGACCAGGAAUUAGGCAAAUGGGAGGUCUCUUUGGAUUUCUCACAUCUAUGGGAAAAAUCACUCCUUGGACCCCAAAGGGGAAUCUCACCAGUGUCAGGCCUUCACCAUUAUCUCUGUGACAGUGUGGGAGAAAGCAGGCCACACAGCACUCUGCAGGAAUUCAGAGACCACCUUGUUCUUGCAGGAAAGCUGUAGCGAGGAUAACUUCUAGGCAUGAGGAACGUUCCGGCCAAGACCCUGAGCAGAUCCUGCUGCCACCAGCCACGGUCGCCCCUGAAGAAGGCCCCAGCACCCUGACCAGCUAUGCACACAGCCUUCAGGACACCACCUGACUGGUCCCUGCAGACGCUGGGUAGUGGAGAAGCACUGAACCCCAAGUGGGCCUGGGACUGUAACCAGGAACUUACUUUAAUUAGGUGCUUAGGACCUGUCAGAAACAGGUGACCAGGAUGGUUAGAAACUGUAAACCAAGGCAGCUGUCGCAAAAGAGCAAGUGUCAGGGCUCCUCCUCCCCUAGUGGCCACCCCUACAGGAUCCCUAGGACUUGGUUAUACCCACCCUGCAACCCGAGAGCUGGCGGGCUCCUGCCCAGCCCCCACCACUGGUUUUACAGAUUAAGUCAAGUCAGCGGCUGUGCCCACCCAAACACCUAGCCAUUUAACUUCAAGGUCCACUCCCUGGACGGGAGGGUGAGAUUCUAAGGAAGAGUCCUUUGCCUAAGACGUGAGAGAUGAGGAGGGCCGGGCCAGGGCGGAGCUGUCCCACCUGUGCCGCUCUUCACUCGCCUCAGAACAUGGGCUCUGUUUUCUAACGUGUCGUGGUUCCUGCCUGUGUUUACCCACAAGUGCUCCGCUUCUCAAUGGGACACCAGGCUUGAGGUAGAAAGCCAAAC
rnacentral:lncRNA from 1 species